rnacentral:rRNA from 1 species
AAUAUUGGACAAUGGGGGCAACCCUGAUCCAGCUAUGCCGCGUGUGUGAAGAAGGUCUUCGUAUUGUAAAGCACUUUAAGUUGGGAGUAAGGGCUUUAGGUUAAUACCCUGAAGUUUUGACGUUACCAACAGAAUAAGCACCGGCUAACUCUGUUCCAGCAGCCGCAGUAAUACAGAGGGUGCAAGCGUUAAUCGGAAUUACUGGGCGUAAAGCGAGGGUUGGUGGUUCAGUAAGAUGGGUGUGAAAUCCCCGGGCUUAACCUGGGAACUGGUUUCAUAACUGCUGAGCUAGAGUACGGUAGAGGGUAGUGGAAUUUCCUGUGUAGCGGUGAAAUGCGUAGAUAUAGGAAGGAACACCAGUGGCGAAGGCGACUACCUGGACUGAUACUGACACUGAGGUGCGAAAGCGUGGGGAGCAAACA